rnacentral:lncRNA from 1 species
AAAAAAAAACUAAAUGAUGGACAGUUCCAGUCUGUCCCUUAUAUUUUUGUUACAAAUGAUAUAACAUAAGGUUGCUCUUUGUCGAUCAAGCUAAAAAAAAAAAAAAAAAAAAAAAAAAAAAAAAAAAAAAAAAAAAAAAAAAAAAAAAAAAAAAAAAAAAAAAAAAAAAAAAAAAAAAAAAAAAAAAAAAAAAAAAAAAAAAAAAAAAAAAAAAAAGAAAGA